CUUCCCGGAUGAAUUGUGUGACUGGCCCCAGCUCCCCCCUCCCCUCCCCCAGGAGAACGAGCCGUUCUCCCGCUCCCUUCCCCUCCCUCCCCCUUCCCAGCGAACGGAGUGACCUUGAAUGAGGCCCCGGCCGCCCCCGCGAGCGCUUCGGAGCUGCCUCCCUCCCAGCCCUUUCUCAGAGACAGCAUCCCGCGGCGGAGGCAAGAGCGGCUAUUUUUAGGCCCCACUUCUGGACUCGCUCUCCCAGCUAACUCCAUCCCCCCGGGGCAGAGCGGAUCCCGAGCUCCUCGUUCCGACAGCAGUCAGCCCCCCCUCCCCCCAGAGCGAGCCGUGUGUGUGAUGUAGUCUCCGGGGGCUGCGGAUAAAUCAUCCCCCCGCCUCCUUCCGGCUCCCUCCUUGUAUUUCUGGAGCAGAACAAAGCUCGGCCUUAUUGCUGGCAGGAAAGUAGGGCAGAGGUCACCGCCUCCCAUUUAGACCUACUAAGUGGGGGUGGGGGGGGGGCAGGACCAGGGAGAGCGAGAGCUGAAAAUCAGCGGAGGGAAUUUUCCCAGCCGGACCCAGCGAGAAGAAGGAAGCAAGAGAAAGGAGGAGGGUUGGAGGAGAGCCUCUGGGCGCCCGAGGACUUCUCCGGCUGCCGGGGUAGCCGGGGUCCAAAAUCCCAGCAAGCUGAGCUAGCCCCUGGGACUAUGAGCUAAACCGGAGACCCUCCCCUAAAGCCGAAAAGCUACCGGACAGCUAAAAUUCCUGAGAGAAGCUGCUAUUGGCUGUGGCAGGGACCAAUCAGAGGGGGCAGAGGCCAAUCAGAGGCAGCAGAGACCAAUCAGAGAGGACAGAGACCAAGCGGCAGAGACCAAUCAGAGAGGAGAAAGACCAACAGAGACCAAUCAGAGGGGGCAGAGACCAAUCAGAGGGAGCAGAGACCAAUCAGAAAGGAGAAAGACCAACAGAGACCAAUCAGAGUGGGCAGAGACCAAUCAGAGGGGGCAGAGACCAAACAGCGUGGGCAGAGACCAAACAGCGUGGGCAGAGACCAAUCAGAGUGGGCAGAAACCAAUCAGAGGGGGCAAAGGCCAAUCAGAGGGGGCAAAGGCCAAUAAGAGGGGGCAGAGGCCAAUCAGAGGGGGCAGAGACCAAUCAGAGGGGACAGAGACCAAUCAGAGGGGGCAGAGACCAAUCAGAGGGGGCAGAGGCCAAUCAGAGGAGGCAGAGACCAAUCAGAGAGGACAGAGACCAAUCAGAGAGGACAGAGGCCAAUCAGAGGGGGCAGAGACCAAUCAGAGGGGGCAGAGACCAAUCAGAGUGGGCAGAGACCAAUCAGAGGGGGCAGAGGCCAAUCAGAGGGGGCAGAGACCAAUCAGAGGGGUCAGAGACCAAUCAGAGGGGGCAGAGGCCAAUCAGACGGGCAGAGACCAAUCAGAGGGGGCAGAGAUCAAUCAGAGAGGACAGAGACCAAUCAGAGGGGACAGAGACCAAUCAGAGGGGGCAGAGGCCAAUCAGAGGGGGCAGAGGCUAAUGAGAGGGAGGCUCGGCAUAGAGACUGAGACAGCCGGCAGUGGGGAGAGCAGACCAGCGGAGGAUCCUGGCGGGAGGGGACCUGCUCACCUUGGAGGUAGAGAUGGCAGGAGGGGCAAAGCCCCCGGAAAGGAAGUUGUCCCAGUCACGUGGGGUUUCUGGCCCUAUGGACAGGGGGGCGUGUAAGAUGGGAACGCACACGGCCAGGUGUGUUCCCGUAGUCUCUGCCGCGUGCCAGCCCGGUCCCCCGCGCUGUUCCUUCCCGCCACAGAUAUUCCCCACUGGGCUCUCCGCAUGAGUCCCCUGCCCAUCCACCUCCAUGGGCUGCUUCUGCAACGGGUGGCUAAGGAGGUGAGAGCGAGCGCCCUCCCGCAGCGGGAGGGAAGUUUGGGUUCUGUUACAUCCGUCAGGACUUAGGGUCGUUCUGGUUUGAAGGACUGGCGGCGGGGGCUCACGAACAGUAGUCGUGGGUGAAUGCGAACCCAAAGCACGGUUUGGAUGUGGGAUCGCUUUGGGGGUGAGAGGCCCCCGACUGACCAGUAAACAGAAAGAACUCCCGGA